UUUCUAUUCCCUCCGUCCGAAAAUACUUGUCAUCAAAAUGGAUAAAAAGAGAUGUAUCUAAAACUAAAAUACGUCUAGAUACAUUUCCUUUUAUCCAUUUUGAUGACAAGGAUUUCCGGACGGAGGGAGUAUUUG
rnacentral:pre_miRNA from 1 species